UACGUAGGGUCCGAGCGUUGUCCGGAAUUACUGGGCGUAAAGAGCUCGUAGGUGGUUUGUCGCGUUGUCCGUGAAAACUCACAGCUCAACUGUGGGCGUGCGGGCGAUACGGGCAGACUGGAGUACUGCAGGGGAGACUGGAAGUUCCCGGUGUAGCGGUGAAAUGCGCAGAUAUCGGGAGGAACACCGGUGGCGAAGGCGGUUCUCUGGGCCUUACC
rnacentral:rRNA from 1 species